GAAUAUUAAACGGGCUACCCCUACUUUGCCCCCACUCUCUCUCUCACACACACACACUUCCAGUCUUCUUUCAUUUCACCACUUUCCUCCUCCCUUGUCACCUCCCCUCAUCGAUCGUGUUUUCUGCGUGUUAUCUCAAACACACCAAAAGCGAAGAAAACUUUGAGCCCCAUUCAACCCCCCUGAUGAGUAAUUUAAUUUACAACCAACCAUUCUUGUCAAUUUAUUUCUCUCUCUUUUUUAACACAUAACCUUAGAUUUUCACACCAAAUUAUUAACAACAACUAAAGUUUCUCACCUCUUUGUAUUCCGUUCGCCGUCACCCACCGACGGUUAGAUCUUUUAGUGCGAGCACCCCUCUUCAUAUUGUUGUGAUCUCAUUUCCUUUUUUCUUUGAUGAACAAAUCAGCACAUGGAAACUAGAUAACUUGAUGGCAUCUGAUUUCUUUAUCAUCUAUCCAUCGGGUCAUACGGAUCAAAUGUUAUACUGAAAAACAUAUUCCUUUAACGCCAAACAAAGAUCUACAGGUAAUGUCCAACAUAUGGUGCACUUUAUACACUUGGACUAUCAACAAUAAUCGUUUUUCGAUUAGAGUGCACCAUAUGUUGGACAGUUCCUUCGAGCGAAUAUGCUUGACUCUUGUUCUUCUCAUUGCAAGAUAGCUCCGACUCUUGUUUAGAAAUUGACAUUUUCUUUUGGUUUUUCUUUUUCCUGGCUUUCUCUUCUCAGACGGGGAGACACUUUUGAUAGGUAUUGGAUUUCUGGUGCUUGUACAGAUUAUUCAUAUGCAGCACUUCCACUCUUCUCUAUAUGACACUGCUCAAUACUUCUCAUUGGGUCACAAAAUGUUUUUGGUUUGUCAAAUACUUCAAUAGAUUUUCCUUGUGCAACAACUUUAUAUUUCUCAUAGAUAUGGGUCGUCUUUUUUAACAGGCUACCAUAUUCAUCAUCUUCACUUUCAUCAUUUGUCUUUUUUGACCCUGGUCUAACCAAUGGGAUAGAAAGAUCUAUUAUGUUGAUGCUCGGGAUAUCAAACAUUGUACGAUAUCUGCGGCUUGCAGGAGCUCUAUUCUUCUUAUUGCGAGUUUUCAAUAGGUUACCAUAUUCGGUUCAGUGCUUGGAUUCUGGGUGCUUCAACAUAUUCAUUGUUCUUCUCUAGAAAAUGGAGAUUCUUUUGUAAUAUGAAUCUGGAUACGAUGUCACAAAUACAAGAUUCACCUACAAUAUCUACUCUCUGGCUGUUAUUAUUACCGACAGAAGAAAUAAGUGCGUCAAGCUGUCCCCUCCCAUAAUGGUAAUAUAGUAUUCAUCACUUAAUAUACUUAAGCGCUCAAAAGAAAGGUAUUCGGUACAAAGAAGUUGAAUACAUUUACUGCUACACCCCACUCUCUCAAGCUCCCUUCCAUAAAACUCUGAUCGUACAGAUUCCAGAUCUAUUUGACUAGUAGCAAAGCAACACAGUUACUUGAUUAGCAAACAUAUAGACAUACAUAUGAGUGUAUACAUAUAUAUGUAUAAAACUACUUCUCGUUUGAUUAAUGAAAACUAUCAGCGGUUAUUAUAAAAUCUAUAUUAUAAGACCGUGUUCCAUCA